rnacentral:sRNA from 1 species
GUCAGGUGUGAUUGCCUGUCAGGUGUGAUUGCUUUUAGAUGUGAUUGCUGUCAGGUGUGAUUGCUGUCAGGUGUGAUUGCUGUCAGGUGUGAUUGCUGUCAGGUGUGGUUGUUGUCAGGUGAUUGUGAUUGCUGUCAGGUGUGAUUGCUGUCAGGUGUGAUUGCUGUCAGGUGUGGUUGUUGUCAGGUGAUUGUGAUUGCUGUCAGGUGUGAUUGCUGUCAGGUGUGGUUGUUGUCAGGUGAUUGUGAUUGCUGUCAGGUGUGAUUGCUGUCAGGUGUGAUUGCUGUCAGGUGUGAUUGCUGUCAGGUGUGGUUGUUGUCAGGUGUGAUUGCUGUCAGGUGAUUGUGAUUGCUGUCAGGUGUGAUUGUUCUCAGGCGUGAUUGCUCAGGGAUUACUUAUAGGCAAAAACUGGUUUGUUACUGUCAGCCGCAGACCUCACUUUCGACAGAGCUUUACAGUACCUAAAAGUUUAUCCAUUAAGCUUAAUCCUCACAAGUAAGCUGAUUACAGUGUGCUUUGGGCUGAUGCCAGGCCCAUGGCAAAUGUUGACUUAUUUAAUACAAAAGCAACGAUGUCUCAGGGUUUCUAUUGCUAUGAAGAGACACCAUGACCACAGCAAAUUGUAU